AUUGAACGCUGGCGGCAUGCCUUACACAUGCAAGUCGAACGGCAGCACGGGAGCAAUCCUGGUGGCGAGUGGCGAACGGGUGAGUAAUAUAUCGGAACGUGCCCAGUCGUGGGGGAUAACGCAGCGAAAGCUGUGCUAAUACCGCAUACGAUCUACGGAUGAAAGCGGGGGAUCGCAAGACCUCGCGCGAUUGGAGCGGCCGAUAUCAGAUUAGCUAGUUGGUGAGGUAAAGGCUCACCAAGGCGACGAUCUGUAGCUGGUCUGAGAGGACGACCAGCCACACUGGAACGGAGACACGGUCCAGACUCCUACGGGAGGCAGCAGUGGGGAAUGUUGGACAAUGGGCGCAAGCCUGAUCCAGCAAUGCCGCGUGCAGGAUGAAGGCCUUCGGGUUGUAAACUGCUUUUGUACGGAACGAAACGGUGAGCUCUAAUACAGUUUGCUAAUGACGGUACCGUAAGAAUAAGCACCGGCUAACUACGUGCCAGCCGCCGCAGUAA
rnacentral:rRNA from 1 species